GUUGGUGGGGGGAUGGCCUACCAAGGCGACGACGGGUAGCCGGCCUGAGAGGGCGACCGGCCACACUGGGACUGAGACACGGCCCAGACUCCUACGGGAGGCAGCAGUGGGGAAUAUUGCGCAAUGGGCGGAAGCCUGACGCAGCGACGCCGCGUGGGGGAUGACGGCCUUCGGGUUGUAAACCUCUUUCGGCCCCGACGAAGCGUGAGUGACGGUAGGGGUAGAAGAAGCACCGGCCAACUACGUGCCAGCAGCCGCGGUAAUACGUAGGGUGCGAGCGUUGUCCGGAAUUAUUGGGCGUAAAGAGCUCGUAGGCGGUCUGUCGCGUCGAUCGUGAAAACUUGGGGCUUAACCCUGAGCUUGCGGUCGAUACGGGCAUGACUGGAGUUCGGCAGGGGAGACUGGAAUUCCUGGUGUAGCGGUGAAAUGCGCAGAUAUCAGGAGGAACACCGGUGGCGAAGGCGGGUCUCUGGGCCGAUACUGACGCUGAGGAGCGAAAGCGUGGGGAGCGAACAGGAUUAGAUACCCUGGUAGUCCACGCCGUAAACGGUGGGCGCUAGGUGUGGGGGCCAUUCCACGGUCUCUGUGCCGUAGCUAACGCAUUAAGCGCCCCGCCUGGGGAGUACGGCCGCAAGGCUAAAACUCAAAGGAAUUGACG
rnacentral:rRNA from 1 species